rnacentral:rRNA from 1 species
GACGAACGCUGGCGGCGUGCUUAACACAUGCAAGUCGAACGGUGAAGCUCCAGCUUGCUGGAGUGGAUCAGUGGCGAACGGGUGAGUAACACGUGAGCAACCUGCCCCUGACUCUGGAAUAAGCGCUGGAAACGGCGUCUAAUACUGGAUACGAGAAGGGUCCGCAUGGGCACUUUCUGGAAAGUUUUUCGGUUGGGGAUGGGCUCGCGGCCUAUCAGCUUGUUGGUGAGGUAAUGGCUCACCAAGGCGACGACGGGUAGCCGGCCUGAGAGGGCGACCGGCCACACUGGGACUGGGACACGGCCCAGACUCCUACGGGAGGCAGCAGUGGGGAAUAUUGCACAAUGGGCGAAAGCCUGAUGCAGCGACGCCGCGUGGGGGAUGACGGCCUUCGGGUUGUAAACCUCUUUCAGCAGGGAAGAAGCGAAAGUGACGGUACCUGCAGAAGAAGCACCGGCUAACUACGUG